GGAUUCUAAAGUUCAUGGGAUCACCAGUCACUGUGAGAUUAACCUGCAUUUAUCAGGGUGUGGAUGGUGCAAAACAGGGAAUAGUGUGAACUCUGGAAAGUUCUCCAAAGCCUGCUUGGAUGCUUCCAGUGAUGGAGAACUCAGCCCCUGGAUCAGCCAAGCAAAGAUCCCACCCAUCUACAUUCUCAGGAGGGGCAUUCAAGAAAAAUUGGGAACGUGGGAGAAGAUAGAGGAUGGGGAAGUCAACCUCUGCUUAAUCUCUUCAGCCUAGAGAUAACGCUCCUCACUUCUGCUCAUAUUCCAUUGAUAUGAGCCAGUUUCUUGGAGCCACCUAGGUGACAGAUGAAGGAGGAACUGGGAAGUGUGGUUCAUAUCUGGUGGCCACUUUUCAGAUCCAAGGA